UCAUUACAGGUCGUUUUAAAGGAAUAGGGCUUCCAAAUUGCAGAAACGCUGGGUGUCUGUUAAAUUCAGGUUCCUUCAAAUAAACAUCACCGAUAGAUCUUGAUACCUGAAUUAUGCCCUUAAUUCUCCAAACUCCGUGAGUAUACAUCACAAUAUGAGAAUCGUCAGGAUUAAGUGCCUCUACUUCCUUCCUAACCUCUUCAACAGCAACAUUAUGAUCUGUUGAUAGUCGCUCUGCUACUACUGGUUUUUUCUUAUCCUCACAAACUCUCCGUCCAAGAACUGCUCUCGAGUCCCCUAAAUUUGCAACAUAUAAGACAUCAUUUGUGAUUGCUCCAACUAGACAACAUGAUCCGACCGAAGCAAUUUGCGGCUUCAUUGGGAAUGCUCGCUUCACUAAAUGGCAAAAUUCUUCCUCGGUCGCAUUAAAUGCCUUCUUUAUCACAUCCACCGAUAAUCCCCCUUGCUCUGCAGCAAAUUUAUGCAUGAAAGGGAACAAAUGCUUGUUAACGAAUCUGGAAGCUUCAGGACCACCAUGACCAUCAUAAACCCCAACAUAAGUGGUGGAAGGAGACGUAAACACUUGGCUCUGAUCCUCUAAAUUAGAGUUAGCUUGAACCACAGCAAUCGAAUAAUCACCAGACGCGUGCUGUUUCAAAUCCGUAUGCCACAUCAGCCCAUCACCACCACCACCACCUCCGCCAGUACGCCUCCCAAAGCACCGCUCAAGCGGCCUGCAGCACAACCGCAACACCAUCGCCUAUUCUCCUUGUCGUUGUCGUCGUCGUCGUUACAGAGGGUAAGGUUUUAAGAGAGGAAGAGAGGGAGCGCGUAGAGAG
rnacentral:misc_RNA from 1 species